rnacentral:pre_miRNA from 1 species
UUGGUACUCCCUCCGUUUCAAAAUUCUUGUCUUAUAUUUGUCUAAAUACGGAUGCAUCAAGUCACAUUUUAGUAUUAGGUACAUCCGUAUCUAAACAAAUCUAAGACAAGAAUUUCGGGACGGAGGGAGUACUAG